rnacentral:rRNA from 1 species
UACAGAGGUCCCGAGCGUUGUUCGGAUUCACUGGGCGUAAAGGGUGCGUAGGCGGCUUCCUAAGUUUGAUGUGAAAUCCUGGGGCUCAACCCUGGAACUGCAUUGAAUACUGGGAGGCUAGAGUACUGGAGAGGAAACUGGAAUUUACGGUGUAGCAGUGAAAUGCGUAGAGAUCGUAAGGAAGACCAGUGGCGAAGGCGAGUUUCUGGACAGUUACUGACGCUGAGGCACGAAGGCCAGGGGAGCAAACGGG